rnacentral:rRNA from 1 species
UACGAAGGGGGCUAGCGUUGCUCGGAAUCACUGGGCGUAAAGCGCACGUAGGCGGCUUUUUAAGUCAGGGGUGAAAUCCUGGAGCUCAACUCCAGAACUGCCUUUGAUACUGAGAAGCUUGAGUCCGGGAGAGGUGAGUGGAACUGCGAGUGUAGAGGUGAAAUUCGUAGAUAUUCGCAAGAACACCAGUGGCGAAGGCGGUUGCCUGGAGCUUUGCUGACGCUGAUGCGCGAAAGCGUGGGGGAGCGAUCCGG